GCGGGCAGCGACCCCGGGAGGGGCACCGGCGAGUGCCGAGGGGCUGGGGGGGCCGCAGGUGCUGCCCAUCCUGCAGCAUCCCCUGUGCACCGCCCGGGCACGUGGGACGCGGUCAGCCUGCGCCGUACCUACGGCUGCGAAGCGAUGGCACCGCUCGGUCGCACUCAUGAACGCAGCACUUAGGCACAGUUAAGAUUUUUCAGAGGCUGCUAGCCCUGGAAAUGAGGCAGGCGGGAGGACGAGUGGGAACAAACCUGGGCGAGCACUGAAGACAGCCCAGCAAUAGGGCUGCGAGGACCGGCGCGCGCUCACGUGUCACCUCCUUCACCACCAUGGCCUUCCCCUGCCGUGCCAUCCCGCCACUGCGCCUCACCCCAGCCAGCUCAUCCGCUCCUCGGUACGGACUCCUGGCCCCGGAGCAGAGUUGGGAAAACGUUCCUGAUUGUCCCAGCUGGAGCCUGGGCCGUAGGGUUGUCGCAUCCACCCGAGAGCGCGUCAGCCUCAGGGAGAGGCUGUCCGCGUGCUGCAGCCCCGCAGCUGGCUCGCAUCCUGCCCCUCACGGACCACAGCCCCAAGACACCUGCCAGGAUGUCUGUGAGCCUCCGGUGCCUCAGCUCUGGGAACAGCAGCACGGUCCUCCCUCCGGCGGAGCCCGGAGGCUGCCGUGUGAAGGGACUGCCUCAGAUGGGGAAGCGCAGCCUCCCUCCCUCUCGCAGACAGGCGCGUGGUCCCUGCGUGGCGCCGAGGCCCGGAGGCACAGAGGAGUGUGAUGCAGCGUGUGCUGCGUGCUGCCAUCCCCGCCUGCCUGCUGAUUUAGCUACGGACUCGGCAGCGGGGGAGUUCAGGAACUUUGGUGGGCAAACGUUCCCGCUUCAGCGCUCCAGCUGUCAGUCAUUCGUGGCAGGAAUCUCAGUAUGGAACGUUAGGACCAAACUGCGCGUUCCCAAACAAUGCCAGCCCUCCCGAGCCACGUGUUCCAUAACGGCCGGUAUCACGGGCGCUCUCCUCGCCGCAGCGAUAGCCUCAAUCAGGCAGAGGCACCAUGGGUGGAACUCUUAUCGCACCAGGCUGAGUCCCCAUGAAGGAGCAGAGGACUUGCGCGUCCUAGAAAUAGCAUGGUAUUGCAGGGUAAGGAACGUGGGCACGCUGCUUUCUCUUUUCUCUUUUUUUUUUUUUUUUUUUCCCCCCCCUUUUUUACUAAAGGCUCGAAAUAAACUCUGAUCCUGCAAGCGCUUACUAGCAAGCACAGCACGCACAGCGGCGAGUCUGUGCAGGAUGACGCGCAUUUGAGCGCUGGGCGAUAGGAGGAUUUCGUUAUGGGCUGCUCUAGGCAGGAUCCAGAGCAAAGUGCUGAACUUGAGGAGAGUUCUUCCAGAGGUUACAGCGAGGUCUGGGUUGUCAGCCCGCCCCUGCUUGCGCAGCGUUGGGCGCAGUGGAGCCCUGAGCCUUGGCUGGGCUGUCUAGGGAUGACUAUAAAAUGAAUGGCACAAGGCAGUCGGGAGGGGGACUCAGAUAGCAAACCCCUCCUCUAAGAGCACACGUCCUUGUGCUUGUGGGUGGGCAGGCAGGGGAGGCACAAAGUUACAAAGGAUGCCAGGAACAGCUCACUUUUCAUCACGUUUCAUUUUGGCUGAACUCUGGUUUUAGUUUUAGCCUUACUCAAGCAGUUACUUCACUAUUUGAUAUUUUGUAUUUCAUUUACAUUUUCAUAUUUUUUGUUAGUAAGCAUGUAACAUGCCCCUGACAACUUGUAUCCUAAGCUUGAAGCCAAGGCACUUCAAGCUUUGCGGGUUUAGAGUCAACAUAGAAUGUGAAUCCGUACAGUCUUAAUUAUAGCAACAUCAGCAGCCACUGUUCGAGGGAAGCAGCAGAGCUUUCGUUACUAAAGAGGCACAGUAGUUAGGGUCUGUCAGUGUUCCUGUUACAAUCCCCAUCUUGAAGAGGUUAUAACUUGGGCUGUGUAAAUUUGAUUGAGCUGAAACUUGGGACUCAAACUGUCAGUCCAUAUAGGGAAUUACCUUAUGAAUAAUUGGCUAACCCGUUGCUUGAUUCAGAGGCCUUUAUAAAACGAUUUUUAAUGGGUUUUAGUGUUUUUUUCUUUUACUGACAUCUAGGGUAUGAACGUGGUACUUCUAGCUCUUUUGAAGCUCCGCAUUGAACAGCAUAUGUAUAGGUAUAUGCAUUAAAGCUAUACGGCAACACAGAGGAGUUCAUGGGGCACACGUAUCCCUCUUACACAUCCAUGUAUACACACACACAAAGAGACCAUGUAGGAGAAGUGUGAUCUAUCUCAGAACAUGUAAGAUAAACAGAAUAUAAAUGCCUCAGACAGAAGGGAACUACAGCACCUGCACUGUGCCUGUUCCAUCCCCCUGCCCCAUGGUGACCCGCUGCCAGACCUGCUCACACCACGGUGCUGGGAAGGGUGGGUGUUCCCCAAUCCAGCCACCCGAAGCCGUUCUGGUGUGCUACAGCACAGUGAGCAGGUCACCUCUGUUAGCUAUUGAUGCAGCGAGGAUAGCAAGGGACAGGAAAAGGUCUGUCGUGGCAUUGGUCACUUGGAUUUCUUCGUUACCAGGGUUUUUUUUAUGACUUUUCAUUUUUGGGGGGACUUUUUCUUUCCACAAAAUGUGUGGAAGUGAAUCCCAUGUGUAUCCUGGCAUCAGAACAGUCGUCAUGAUUGCACUUUGAAAGGCAUCAGCCACUUGGCUUUGAACGCCGGGCUCAAAGGAAUCUGCUUGGACUUGGGUACUGAAGAAUUCGUGAGCAUGCUGGGCACAUCAGCUGUACCCCAUGCCUGAAGCAAGCACGCGGCCGAGUGUUCUGCUAACCUGGUGCCUGCUCGUCUUUUGGAAGCUAAGUCUACUGGGUAGGAUUUUUGAACUCCGACUUUUCGUCACUCGCAAUGCAUUUAAGUGAAAUUUCGCAUCACCAUUAUAUUAAUUUUGCAUUGGUGCUUUAGGUUACAUGUAGUUUUAGCCUUUGGUUUCAGCAAAGAAGAAAUACGCGUGCUACGUGGAACAUGGCACCAUUUGUGUGAGGAUCCAUCUAGAUGGAAAACAAAGAAUUAACUGUUGAGAUAGCAGAGAUCUUCUGCGUUUAAAAAGAAAACCAGCUUGGCUGCGGGCUUUUUUCUUCGCCAUCUUUCUCCCGUGCAACUCUGUGUGCAAAAUUUCAACUUAAUUGAAAGAUUUUAAUGCAACUCUCUGUAGUCAAAAUGAUAUAUUGUUGUAGAGCCCAAAGCUGCACGGGAAGAUGCUGUGCUGAGGCAUAGCGAGAGUGAUGGUGAAUAAAGCAGGAUAGAAGCACACUUCUUUGAGCAGUUUGGAUAGUUUUGCCCCCAUUUGUUACUGCCAGCACAUAUAAUUUUUACAGGACGGUGUGAAUUCUGACUGCGGUGAAAAGAAUGCCUUCCACCGCCAGCGUGAAUACGGUCUCACUCAAUUAGAAUAACAUGCGAGUAUAUCGUAUAGUAUGACACAGAAAGCUGAUGUGCAUGAAGUCUGAACGCUGGGAGUUAUUGUGCUAAUGCUAUUGUUGGGUGAGCAACUAUUUCCCCGCAGUGAAAAAAAAAAAAAAA